rnacentral:rRNA from 1 species
GAGGGUGCAAGCGUUAUCCGGAUUUAUUGGGUUUAAAGGGUGCGUAGGCUGUGUCUUAAGUCAGCGGUGAAAUGUCAGGGCUCAACCUUGAGACUGCCGUUGAUACUGGGAUGCUGGAGUACGGAUGCCGCCGGAGGAAUGUGUGGUGUAGCGGUGAAAUGCAUAGAUAUCACACAGAACACCGAUUGCGAAGGCAUCUGGCGAAUCCGUAACUGACGCUGAAGCACGAAAGCGCGGGUAUCAAA